ACUUGCUCCAUGGUGGAUCUACUUGGCGGUUUGAGAUGAACAGGGCCAAGUCCCAAGAAGGGAAUAAUGUGCUAACAUCGUGGGAUCAUUUACUUUGGUGAGAGGGCAGCGAUGCUGGAGAAGGGUGGCGGCACAUGAAGAGUCGCAUGGAGGAGGAGGAGGGUCAAUGUUUUGAGGAGUCUAUGUGCGGAGAAGGAGCGACACUAGAGAGAUAGAUAGAGCAAAGAGACUGACAGAUAUACCUUGGACUAUAGGGAACACUUGCAAAAUAGGGGGUGAGUGUUAAGGUUCUUAUUGUGAUAUAUGUUGGGCUUAUUUUCUAUAAGGCUAAAAAUAUCCCUUAUUUUCAAAGAUGCCUGUUCAGAGGCUUAUCUUUGUAAAUUUUUAGAGGCAGGCUUUGCCUAUUUGACCUUUAUUUAGAUGC
rnacentral:lncRNA from 1 species